AAUGAACGCUAGCGGCAGGCUUAAUACAUGCAAGUCGAGGGACAGCACAGGUAGCAAUACUGGGUGGUAACCGGCAAACGGGUGCGGAACACGUACACAACCUUCCUUUAAGUGGGGGAUAGCCCAGAGAAAUUUGGAUUAAUACCCCGUAAUAUAGUUGAAUGGCAUCAUUUGAUUAUUAUAGCUACGGCGCUUAAUGAUGGGUGUGCGGCUGAUUAGAUAGUUGGCGGGGUAACGGCCCACCAAGUCUACGAUCAGUAGCUGAUGUGAGGGCAUGAUCGGCCACACGUGCACUGAGCAACGGGCCCGACGCCUACGGGAGGCAGCAGUAAGGAAGAUUGGUCAAUGAACGCAAGUCUGAACCAGCCAUGCCGGGUGAAGGAUUAAGGUCCUCAGGUUUGUAAACUUCUUUUAUGUGGGACGAAAAAGUGCCUUUCUAGGUCAACUGACGGUACCAGAUGAAUAAGCACCGGCUAACUCCGUGCCAGCAGCCGCAGUAAAAC
rnacentral:rRNA from 1 species